GUAUAUGUUAACAAGCAAAGAGAUAAAGAUAAAAACUUAUCAAUUGAGCCAAUAAACUUUCUCUUUUUUUCUUCAGUAGACUUCAUUUUUAGAGCAGUUUUUAGUUUUAAAGUGAGGUUUUGCUGUGAACCUAAAAAGUAUAUUCCUUUAAGCAUUAAUCGAUGCCCAAGCUAAUAAGUGAUUUAUUUUACCAAGCUGAUUGGACACGCCAUUAUGACUCUCUGAGAUGUCUGAUCAGAAAACUGAGGGGACAAGGGACACUGUUCUGAAUAAGGAAACCAGUUUUAGUUCACUUCAGUCUUGAAAGUACAAAAUUUUGUUGAAUUAAAGAAACUUCUAUAGGUAAAAUGCCUAUGGUUGCCUCAUUUUAAAUAUCAUUCUAGUUUUAUAUAUAAAAGUAAUGUCAUCCCUUUAUAAAUGAUAAAGCCUCAUUAAUUUGUACUAAUUUGCUAAUUCCAAAUUUGUAAUUGACUAGGCACUUUGCUAAGGUUUGAUCAUUAAACUAUCACUGGGAAAAGAUAAGUAAAUUAAUAGCAUUUGGAAGCGGGAAUGGUUGUCACCAAACUCCUCAUGUCUCCACAAAUGAGAGAAGACUUCUGUUCCACAGCCAACAGGGAGUAGUUUUAGAAAAACCUUUUGAGUCUCUCCUCAUUUGCUUUUCUGUGUGGAAGAGAAGAAAUUUAACUGACACAAGAAUCAAGGGAGAGAGACAGGGACAGAGAGGGAGGUGAUACGGAAUAAAAAACUUCUGAAGGCAAAUAAUGCACUUGGAAUACCUCCUCAUGAGAAGCCCUAUCUGGUAUUUGGUGGCAGGUAGAUUUUGGCAUACUGAAGUAGAUCAUAAUCAUAUGGAAUGCCAUUUGAUCGGAAUAUGACACUAAGAGUCCCUUGUUUUCCAUGGAAAUUGGCAAAGAAUGCAUGCUGUUAAACACCAGGGAUUUCCAGCCAGGCAUGGUGGCUCACGCCUGUAAUCCCAGCACUUUGGGAGGCCGAGGCGGGCGGAUCACGAGGUCAGGAGAUCGAGACCAUCCUGGCUAACACGGUGAAACCCCGUCUCUACUGAAAAUACAAAACAUUAGCCGGGCGCUGUGGCGGGCGCCUGUAGUCCCAGCUACUCGGGAGGCUGAGGCAGGAGAAUGGCGUGAACCCGGGAGGCGGAGCUUGCAGUGAGCCAAGAUCAGGCCACUGCACUCCAGCCUGGGCGACAGAGCAAGACUCUGUCUCAAAAAAAAAAAAAAAUUUAAAGUAAAACUAAAAGGAACAAGAGGUAUUUUUGACCUUAUACUUGAAAUAAGCCAACAUUAUAUUAAAAUAUUAGUGCAACCUUAGACAAUGAUAAUAGAAAAUUAAGUCCAAAUGACAGGAAAUACAGUCUCAGUGAUUUCUCUCCUGUUCAAAACAGAUCACUGUUUUGAAUUCUGAGUUUUAUAAUUUAGAAAGGAUGGGCUCAUGCCUGUAAUCCCAGCACUUUGGGAGGCUGAGGUGGGCGGAUCGCUUGAGCUCAAGAGUUCAAAACCAGCCUAGGCAACACGGCAAAACCCCAUCUCUACAAAAAAUAUGAAAAUUAGCCAGGCGUGCUGGCGUGCCUGUAGUCCCAGCGACUCGGGAGGCUGAGGCAGGAGAAUCACUUGAACUCGGGAGACAGAGAUUGCAGUGAGCCAAGACUGUGCCACUGCACUCUAGCCUGGUGACAGAGUGAGACUCUGUCUCAAACAACAACAACAACAAAAAUUAGUCAGGCGUGGUGGAGUGCACCUGUGGUCCCAGCUACUUGAGAGGCUGAGGUGGGAGAAUCACCUUAGUCUGGGAGGUCGAGGCCGCAAUAAGCCAAAAUCGCACCACUGCACUCCAUCUUGGGUGACAGAGUGAGACCCUGUCUCAAAAGAAAAAAAAAAGAAAGAAAAGAAAGGAUGCAGCAAACUAAGGGUACGCUCAGAGGACAUGACAGGACAGCAAAGAAACCAUUGGAAUAACAAUGAGAGGAAACAGGAACAUUUAACAUAUAGAAAAGAGGACUUGGGAAGUAAAUGACAAUGGUCUUGAGUGCACUGUGCUGUAGGGCAAAGAAAAACUGAAUGUGUUCUCCAAAGAUCUAGAAUCUGGUUCCUAUUCUGUUCCUAUUUACUGUGUGAUCUCAGGCAGGUGGCUUCCCUUCUCUGGGUCUUGUCUUCACCUCUAAAAAAGGAGGUGGUGUUUUGUGAGCAAUGGGGGUUUUCAUCAGACUUAGGUUCAAAUCCGACCUACAUGGCUUACCAGUGGUUUUGAUCUGAGCCUUUGUAAAAUACAGAUAAAGAUGAAACUUCCCUCAGAGCUUAUUGUGAGAAUUAAAUAAAAUAAUGGAACUAAGACGCCUGGUACAAUGCUGAUACAUAGUUGAUACUCAAUAAAUUACAAUUUACAAUUACUAAUUACCAAUAAAUGGUAAGAAUAGUUAUUCAGUAAUGCGACUCUAUAAAAGAUUUGAAAUGCCAUUACAAGAAGGCGAUACAGUUUUCUGCCAUGUUGCAAGACCAGCAGAUAAAAGUUAUAGGAAAGCAGGUUUUUCACUAAUUGAAGAAAGAACUUUCUAAUAACUAGAACUAACAAGAAAAAAAGCUGCCUUGUGAAGUAGCAAAAUUCCCAACACUAGGAAUGUUCAACAGUGUCAUGAAGAAUACCUGUUGGGGACACUACAGAACAGCUUCCUAUAUUUUGAAUGAGAAAUAGAUAAGAUCCCUUCCUAAUUUAAAUGUCUGUGACUUUCAGCUGAGUGCAGUACCAAGUGCAUUCAUAGUUUAUAAUAUUAAUGUACCACUGCCCUCUAGUGUAUAACCUAAGAAGAU
rnacentral:lncRNA from 1 species